rnacentral:rRNA from 1 species
CACCGACAGCUCUAGUGGUAGCAGUUUUUAUUGGGCCUAAAGCGUCCGUAGCCGGUUUAAUAAGUCUCUGGUGAAAUCCUGUAGCUUAACUGUGGGAAUUGCUGGAGAUACUAUUAGACUUGAGACCGGGAGAGGUUAGAGGUACUCCCAGGGUAGAGGUGAAAUUCUGUAAUCCUGGGAGGACCGCCUGUUGCGAAGGCGUCUAACUGGAACGGUUCUGACGGUGAGGGACGAAAGUUAGGGGCGCGAACCGGAUUAGAUACCCGGGUAGUCCUAACUGUAAACGAUGCGGACUUGGUGUUGGGGUGGCUUUGAGCUGCUCCAGUGCCGAAGGGAAGCUGUUAAGUCCGCCGCCUGGGAAGUACGGUCGCAAGACUGAAACUUAA